CCCUGGCUCAGGACGAACGCGGCGGCGUGCCUAAUACAUGCAAGUCGAGCGGAUUUAUCCUUCGGGAUAAGUUAGCGGCGGACGGGUGAGUAACACGUAGGUAACCUGCCUAUAAGAUCGGGAUAACUAUCGGAAACGAUAGCUAAGACCGGAUAAUUGGUUUUCUCGCAUGAGAGAAUUAUGAAACACGGAGCAAUCUGUGGCUUAUAGAUGGGCCUGCGGCGCAUUAGCUAGUUGGUAGGGUAACGGCCUACCAAGGCGACGAUGCGUAGCCGACCUGAGAGGGUGAACGGCCACACUGGGACUGAGACACGGCCCAGACUCCUACGGGAGGCAGCAGUAGGGAAUCUUCCGCAAUGGACGCAAGUCUGACGGAGCAACGCCGCGUGAGUGAUGAAGGUUUUCGGAUCGUAAAGCUCUGUUGCCCUAGACGAACAGCAAGAGGAGUAACUGCCUUUUGUGUGACGGUAUAGGAGAAGAAAGCCCCGGC
rnacentral:rRNA from 1 species